UUUACUGCCAUGAUAUUUGAUUUAGAGUAUCUGUUUGUAAAAUACCAUUAAAAUCAAACCCAUUUCUUUCCACUUUUUCCAUGACAUGGUUUCUGAUUUACUGAUCCGUGUCUGUUUCAUCGACUCGGUAUGGGAGGAGAAAGUAGAGAACAUUGAGAAGUUGAGAUCCGAGCCAAGAGGAGCAGCUCUCUGUUUCAGUGAAAGGAACAGGCAAUCACCAAGGAGGGUCUGAGUCAGCAGGAAGAAUGGAUUGAAGGUAAAACUUCAACUACGUCACAGAGCCGAACUUGCCAUCUUCUGGAUUUUCUGAGUCAUCAGAAGCUUCAGUAUGUGAGCCAAUCCCAAGCCAAGAGAGAAAUAUGGGGAGAAUUUUGAAGGAGUACCACAAAGAAUGUUCAUCUAAAGACUCCUCUUCUGCUGUUUGCCAAUUUGAUCUCUUUUCUUAUUAUUUGGACAGUAAUUUCCACUACUAGAUUCAUUAGAAAUUAAGCAA